UACAUAACCGGUCUCGUGGUGGCCAUGCUGCAGGUGGCACACUCCGAGCAGGCCCCUUGGGGGAUGACAGGGGCAUCUUCUGCUAAGCGUGGGAACAGCCUUGGGCGCCCCCAGUGCUCGGGAGAAAGAGGGCUCCCCUCCCCGGGUGUGAGUCACCAAAUCCCUGAGCGACUUAGGUGCUCCUGCCCCACCCCCUUCUCCACCUCAGCCCAGCCUCUCAAACACCUUGAUCCGCAGACGCCCCCAGGUUGGUAAACGGACUGAACAAGAGGGAAGAGGCAAGUUCCGUGGGUCAAGGCAUCACCGAACAGGAAUCCCCGGAGACACGCCCAGGAGCCGAGGAGGGCAGAGGUGCUCCAGUCGGGCGGCUGAGCCAUCCUUCUUGGCUGGGCUCUGAGAAGAAAGGGGAGUGGGCACUGUCCGCUGGAAGUGAGCUGGCUGCCUACGACCCCUACCAGCUCUAAGCCCGAGGGUUCUGCGUGUUCAGAUUUCUUUCUGAGUGGCCCCUACCACCCUCGUCCUGCAUAAAAAAGAAUUCACGGACUCAAGGUCUCACCCACGGAGAGAGGCUUUUGGAGAGCCUGGAUCUCUCGGCCUUCAGAAAAUGAUCUUCUUUCAAAGAAAACAAGGAGGACAGCCGCUCUCACUUAACAAACAAACAAAAAAGAGAGGAUGGUAGAGAGCAGUCUACACCCUGAGACCCAUCCCUAG